CCAACACACUCAUGUCCAUCAACAUAACUAAUGAGACCCGGGUGUUCGUGCUCACGACACCCCCUCUGACCUUCUUGCCGGUAGGAACGGACAAGCCUUUUGCCGACUCGGAUUUCUUUCGGGCUGUCCUGAACCGGGGUAAGAGGGGCUUUGAAGUGACUGCUGUGGACUUCAUUGGGCUAGUGGCCAGUCUGAUAGAACAAGUGGAGAUUAGCACCCUCUACAAGCGAGUAGGCCUAGUCGAAGAUAAUCUUAGGGAUUUUAUGCAGCUCACAACCAAGGCCUGGAUUGCCCAACAAGACAUUAAUAAAUUGGUGACCAUAGAAUUGUUGGCCCUUACAUUGGCCGUGCAAGCCUUAGCCACCCUCAUACAGGUUAACUCCGUGCUAGAGGGCCUCCCUUGCCAUCAUGUACUACCCAGGCCAAUGUGCAUGACGGCCGCCGUGCACAACGCAUCCAGGGAGCUGGAUGAGGCAAUCCGGACCUUGAAUGAGCAUAGCAAUAUGUCUGACUAUCUCAGACGCCUAGAAGAUAUAGUACUACAGAUAAAGAAUGAGACAGACCAAUAUAAGCAGCAGAUACAAAAGGACCAUGGCAUUCUCCCCGAGUGGUUUAACCAGCUUGAAUUGUCUAAUUGGCUUAAUUAUGUACUGAGUAUGGGAAGCAUGGUUUUCUUUCUCUUGGUCAUGUGUAUAUGCCUCCCCUGCUUGCUAUCUUACGUGGUACGGCUUUGGCGUAUGGUCUUAGAGCAAGUAAAAGCGGAUAUAUUCCUGCGUAAACAAAAAGGGGGAGUUGUUAGGGGCGGUCGGCCCUAGACGCCUGAGCGGAUAGGAACCUCCCUGGGAGUGAGAGCCCCCAAUCCCAGAAAGACACGGCUCCCUACACGGGGUACGUGUAAGGAUGGGAUUGGGCGAGACUCUUUGCUCCAUACAGGUGGCAGGUUUCGCCCUUGGGGCGGAUUGGGGUGGCCACCCGGAAGACAGACCCUAUAUAGACCAACG
rnacentral:lncRNA from 1 species